rnacentral:snRNA from 1 species
AUGCUCACUUCAGCAGCACAUAUACUAAAAUUGGAACGAUACAGAGAAGAUUAGCAUGGCCCCUGCUCAAGGUGGUUAAAAAAAUAUAUCAAGGUUUC